UCCAGUUCCCAUCAGGCCUGAGUUCCCAUAUCAUAUCUGUUGCUUCACAGGCGCCAUCUUGUAAUAGAGGAGCCUUUUGGUCGUCACCGAGGUAGAGAUGCCGGUCAAUGUGAAUCCAGCGAUUCGAUUUUCAAGAUAUGCUGCCCUUCUCAUUGGUGUGGCUUAUGGAUACAGGAGAAAUGAGUACCUCAAACCCAUAGCAGCCCGUGAAAGGGAAGAAGAAGCUGCAAGGGCCAAAGAGAGAGCAGAGCUGGAGGCAAUCAGGAAAGCUGAAGCUGCUAAAGUUCCACUGUUUUAGAUGAGCCAUCUAUAUGAUUGUGGAAGGAUGUGGAGUAUCCAUUCAUGGCAUUUUGUUAAACUUUGGUGUCAAUUUAAUCCCUUUCUGUCCAGUGGUGAUAAUUUGUAAGGCCAUAACACUCUGUAUCGGAUAGUACAAUGUCAAUAAAUGUUUUUGAAGUGGU